rnacentral:lncRNA from 1 species
CGCCCACCUCACAAAGAGGUAGCUUCCGCACGUGCACGACUCAGCGGCAAGGGCGUGCGACGCGCAGGCGCCGGGAAGCCCACGGGGCGGAAACUGGAGCGAGCCAGCCCUCCUCCGGCCCUGCGGCCUCCCUUUCGCGCCCCCUAUCGGCAGGGCCAGUGGGGCAGCAGAAGCGUGGCUCGCAGGGCCCAGCCCCAGCCACAUGCACCGAGCUGAGCGUGCGCUGGCCUGUGUGGAGCCCAGGCAAGAACGGAGUAACUGGUACAGAGGGGGCUUUGCGUUUUCAGGAAUGCAGUGUCCCCUUUCCAGGAGCCCUGCAGAGUCUCAUCCAUCCCUGGGGAAGGAAGACGCCCGGCUGCAGUCACGCACCCCGCACCCGUCCAGAUCUCAGCUCGUGCCGUCACCCCUGAGGCUGGAACAGUCUCUGAAGAGGGGCUGGCUGCACAGUUCCACGGGGGAAACUGUGAAGGAAAACAUAGGCCUGGCCUGUCAGCGGGGGAGUCCCAGGAAACGCUCUGGUCAGUCGGCGCUUGAAGAUAAAACUCAGCCAUAGAAGGAGAGAGGCUCUGGAUACAUUCUAAAGAGAUCUGUGGCCUGAAGGAGGAGGAGAACUUAUAAAGAAACAUGUGAAUUAAAUGGAAGAAAGGGACAAAUGGAAGCAUAUCUGAG